UACGUAGGGGGCAAGCGUUGUCCGGAAUCACUGGGCGUAAAGGGCGCGUAGGCGGCGCGGAUAGUCGGCGGUGAAAGCCCGGAGCUCAACUCCGGGUCGGCCGUCGAUACUUCCGGGCUUGAGCACUGUAGAGGCAGAUGGAAUUCCGGGUGUAGCGGUGGAAUGCGUAGAGAUCCGGAAGAACACCGGUGGCGAAGGCGGUCUGCUGGGCAGUUGCUGACGCUGAUGCGCGACAGCGUGGGGAG
rnacentral:rRNA from 1 species